CUGUCACAGAACUGGCAUCUGGAGAAGAUCCUCAGGGCUUUUCAUCCUUCCUGGAGGACAUGAUAAGGGACUGCAAGCAUCUCCUAAAAUCUUCUCUAGGUGGCUGGUUAUGGUUCCUUGAGGUAUAAAAUUCCAUUCCACCCAAGCUCCAUGCAUUUCCUGGGCAACUGUUGCACAAGUCUCUUAUGAUCAGAUCUGCAGAGCAGCUAAAUGGUUAUCUCAUAGUACCUUUAUCCAGC